rnacentral:tRNA from 1 species
GGAUAUAUCUCAGUGGUAGAGUGUGUGCUUAGCAUGCAUGAGGUCCUGGGUUCAAUCCCCAGCACCUCCA